AGCGGUGGAGCAGUUGUUAGGUUUAAUUACGAAGCAACGCGAAGUAACCUUACCAGGUCUUGACAUCCCGAUGCUAUUUCUAGAGAUAGAAAGUUACUUCGGUACAUCGGUGACAGGUGGUGCAUGGUUGUCGUCAGCUCGUGUCGUGAGAUGUUGGGUUAAGUCCCGCAACGAGCGCAACCCCUAUUGUUAGUUGCCAUCAUUCAGUUGGGCACUCUAGCGAGACUGCCGGUAAUAAACCGGAGGAAGUGGGGAUGACGUCAAAUCAUCAUGCCCCUUAUGACCUGGGCUACACACGUGCUACAAUGGUUGGUACAACGAGUUGCGAGUCGGUGACGGCGAGCUAAUCUCUUAAAGCCAAUCUCAGUUCGGAUUGUAGGCUGCAACUCGCCUACAUGAAGUCGGAAUCGCUAGUAAUCGCGGAUCAGCACGCCCGCGGUCGAAUACGUUCCGGGCCUU
rnacentral:rRNA from 1 species